rnacentral:rRNA from 1 species
AAUCGGAAUUACUGGGCGUAAAGACGCAUGCAGGCGGCCUGUUAAGUCAGGUGUGAAAGCCCGGGGCGUUAACCUCGGAAUUGCAUUUGAAACUAGGCAGGCUAGAGUCUUGUAGAGGGGGUAGGAAGUUUCAGGUGUAGCGGUGAAAUAGCGUAGAGAUCUGAAGGAAUACCAGUGGCGAAGGCGGCCCCCUCGGACCAAAGACUGACGCUCAGAUGCGAAAGCGUGGGGAGCAAACAGGAUUAGAUACCCUGGUAG